rnacentral:hammerhead_ribozyme from 1 species
AUUCGUCCGAUGAGUCUCAAAUAGAACGAAACGCGCGUCUUGAAU